GGCUCAGGAUGAACGCUAGCGGCAGGCUUAAUACAUGCAAGUCGUGGGGCAGCAUGAGUAGCAAUACUUGAUGGCGACCGGCAAACGGGUGAGGAACACGUACACAACCUUCCUUCAAGCGGGGAAUAGCCCAGAGAAUUUGGAUUAAUACCCCAUAAUAUAUUUGAUAAGGCAUCUUAUUAAUAUUAAAGCUUCGGCACUUGAUGAUGGGUGUGCGGCUGAUUAGAUAGUUGGCGGGGUAACGGCCCACCAAGUCUACGAUCAGUAGCUGAUGUGAGAGCAUGAUCAGCCACACGGGCACUGAGACACGGGCCCGACUCCUACGGGAGGCAGCAGUAAGGAAUAUUGGACAAUGGACGAAAGUCUGAUCCAGCCAUGCCGCGUGAAGGAUUAAGGUCCUCUGGAUUGUAAACUUCUUUUAUAUGGGACGAAAAAGGGCAUUCUUGUUCACUUGACGGUACCAUAUGAAUAAGCACCGGCUAACUCCGUG
rnacentral:rRNA from 1 species